CAGUAGCCGCGGGAAUACGUAGGGUGCAAGCGUUGUCCGGAAUUAUUGGGCGUAAAGAGCUCGUAGGCGGUUUGUCGCGUCUGCUGUGAAAUCCCGAGGCUCAACCUCGGGCUUGCAGUGGGUACGGGCAGACUAGAGUGCGGCAGGGGAGAUUGGAAUUCCUGGUGUAGCGGUGGAAUGCGCAGAUAUCAGGAGGAACACCGAUGGCGAAGGCAGAUCUCUGGGCCGUAACUGACGCUGAGGAGCGAAAGCGUGGGGAGCGAACAGGAUUAGAUACCCCUGUAGUCCCUGUCUCUUAUAC
rnacentral:rRNA from 1 species